rnacentral:rRNA from 1 species
AGUGAACGCUGGCGGUAGGCCUAACACAUGCAAGUCGAACGGCAGCACAGUAAGAGCUUGCUCUUACGGGUGGCGAGUGGCGGACGGGUGAGGAAUACAUCGGAAUCUACUUUUUCGUGGGGGAUAACGUAGGGAAACUUACGCUAAUACCGCAUACGACCUACGGGUGAAAGCAGGGGAUCUUCGGACCUUGCGCGAUUGAAUGAGCCGAUGUCGGAUUAGCUAGUUGGCGGGGUAAGGGCCCACCAAGGCGACGAUCCGUAGCUGGUCUGAGAGGAUGAUCAGCCACACUGGAACUGAGACACGGUCCAGACUCCUACGGGAGGCAGCAGUGGGGAAUAUUGGACAAUGGGCGCAAGCCUGAUCCAGCCAUACCGCGUGGGUGAAGAAGGCCUGCGGGUUGUAAAGCCCUUUUGUUGGGAAAGAAAAGCAGCAGGUUAAUACCCCGCUGUUCUGACGGUACCCAAAGAAUAAGCACCGGCUAACUUCGG